rnacentral:sRNA from 1 species
GAGCCCGUCGCGGGAAUGCAAGGAGCUGGACGGCCUCUGGAGCUUCCGCGCCGACUUCUCUGACAACCGACGCCGGGGCUUCGAGGAGCAGUGGUACCGGCGGCCGCUGUGGGAGGGCUGGUGAAUUACCAGAUCUCUGUCAAGGGCAGUAACCUGUUCAAGUUGGAAGUGCGUCUUUUGGAUGCAGAAAACAAAGUCGUGGCGAAUGGGACUGGGACCCAGGGCCAACUUAAGGUGCCAGGUGUCAGCCUCUGGUGGCCGUACCUGAUGCACGAACGCCCUGCCUAUCUGUAUUCAUUGGAGAUCCGAGGGAAGGGCUUCGACUGGCCGCUGCUGGUGAAGGACUUCAACCUGCUUCGCUGGCUUGGUGCCAACGCUUUCCGUACCAGCCACUACCCCUAUGCAGAGGAAGUGAUGCAGAUGUGUGACCGCUAUGGGAUUGUGGUCAUCGAUGAGUGUCCCGGCGUGGGCCUGGCGCUGCCGUGAGUCUCUGCUGUGCACCUGC